rnacentral:tRNA from 1 species
GGGUGUAGCUCAUUGGCAGAGUGCAUGCUUGGAAUGUGCAAGGCCCUGGGUUCGAUUCCCAGCCCCA